rnacentral:rRNA from 1 species
AAUCAACGCUGGCGGCGUGCCUCAGACAUGCAAGUCGAACGAUUAAAGCUCUCUUCGGAGAGUGUAUAGAGUGGCGCACGGGUGAGUAACACGUAAGUAAUCUACCUUCGAGUGGGGAAUAACCCGGGGAAACCCGAGCUAAUACCGCAUAAUGCAGCGGCAUCGCAAGAUGACAGUUGUUAAAGGAAUUUAUUUCGCUU